rnacentral:rRNA from 1 species
GAUGAACGCUGACAGCAUGCUUAACACAUGCAAGUCGACUGUGGCGGACGGGUGAGUGAGGCGUAAAGAACUUGCCUACCAGCUAGGGACAACAUUAGGAAACGAAUGCUAAUACCAGAUACUGUGAGAGAGCUUUGCGUCCCAUUAGCUAGUGGGAGAGGUAACGGAUCACCAAGGCGAUGAUGGGUAGCCGGCCUGAGAGGGUGAUCGGCCCCAAGGGGACUGAGACACGGCCCUUACUCCUACGGGCGGAAGGAGCGGAGAAUAUGGGACAAAGGACCAAAGUCUGAUCCAGCAAUUCGGUGUGCACGAUGCUGUUUUCGGAAUGUAAAGUGCUUUCAGUUGGGAAGCGGUACCAACAGAAGAAGUGACGGCUAACUACGUGCCAGCAGCCGCGGUAAUAC